rnacentral:ncRNA from 1 species
UCAAAUGCGAUGAAGAGAAGAGUAGAUAAGCCGAUUCUUUCCCAGAGAGCUCCGUCCGCUGAAAAGGAGCAAAGAAGCGUUUAUUGAACAAAGCCUCCGAGCAGCACAUUGGAACCGCAAGCCGCGGGGAUAGUGUGCCAGGUGCUCCUGUUACAGAGCUAGAGUAUAUGCAUGGUUUGCAUGCCGUACUUGAAGAGGCCAAUAUGGCGACAUAUUGGCGAAUUUGGGGUGGUACCACGAGUGUUCAAAUCUCGUCCCUAAG